CAGUCGAACGAAGCGGCUGCAGGGAUUCCCUUCGGGGAGGAACAGUAGCUGUCUGAGUGGCGGACGGGUGAGUAACGCGUGGGCAACCUGCCCCAUACCGGGGGAUAACAGCCGGAAACGGCUGCUAAUACCGCAUACGCCCAGGAGGCUGCAUAGCUUGCUGGGGAAAACUCCGGUGGUAUGGGAUGGGCCCGCGUCUGAUUAGCUCGUUGGCGGGGUAACGGCCCACCAAGGCGACGAUCAGUAGCCGGCCUGAGAGGGCGGCCGGCCACAUUGGGACUGAGACACGGCCCAGACUCCUGCGGGAGGCAGCAGUGGGGAAUAUUGCACAAUGGGGGAAACCCUGAUGCAGCGACGCCGCGUGAGCGAUGAAGUAUCUCGGUAUGUAAAGCUCUAUCAGCAGGGAAGAAAGUGACAGUACCUGACUAAGAAGCCCCGGCUAACUACGUGCCAGCAGCCGCGGUAAUACGUAGGGGGCAAGCGUUAUCCGGAUUCACUGGGCGUAAAGGGAGCGCAGGCGGCACGGCAAGUCUGGUGUGAAAACCCGGGGCUCAACCCCGGGACUGCAUUGGAAACUGCCGGGCUGGAGUGUCGGAGGGGUAAGCGGAAUUCCUAGUGUAGCGGUGAAAUGCGUAGAUAUUAGGAGGAACACCAGUGGCGAAGGCGGCUUACUGGACGAUGACUGACGCUGAGGCUCGAAAGCGUGGGGAGCAAACAGGAUUAGAUACCCUGGUAGUCCACGCC
rnacentral:rRNA from 1 species